rnacentral:tRNA from 1 species
GAAAAGGUCUAACCAGACUGCUAAUCUGGCACUCCAAAAUUAAUACUUUGGCC